ACGUACACUCCUGCGGGAGGCAGCAGUGGGGAAUAUUGGACAAUGGGCGCAAGCCUGAUCCAGCCAUGCCGCGUGAGUGAUGAAGGCCCUAGGGUUGUAAAGCUCUUUCACCGGUGAAGAUAAUGACGGUAACCGGAGAAGAAGCCCCGGCUAACUUCGUGCCAGCAGCCGCGGUAAUACGAAGGGGGCUAGCGUUGUUCGGAUUUACUGGGCGUAAAGCGCACGUAGGCGGACUAUUAAGUCAGGGGUGAAAUCCCGGGGCUCAACCCCGGAACUGCCUUUGAUACUGGUAGUCUUGAGUUCGAGAGAGGUGAGUGGAAUUCCGAGUGUAGAGGUGAAAUUCGUAGAUAUUCGGAGGAACACCAGUGGCGAAGGCGGCUCACUGGCUCGAUACUGACGCUGAGGUGCGAAAGCGUGGGGAGCAAACAGUAUUAGAUACCCCGGUAGUCCC
rnacentral:rRNA from 1 species